rnacentral:lncRNA from 1 species
UGCCCGCGAGCGGGGAAGAAGAUGGCCCGAUUGCUCCUCACCUUUCUCGAUCGUUCCUUGUCGUCGUGCAUUACGCCCGCGAGAGAGGAUGUGUCGCAGCCACUUGACACCCAAUCGAUCACAAUGACAGGAAGCGGCGAGGAUGCCGGCGGUUGUGCACGGGUGGUCGACGACGCAGGUGAGGCUGCAUUUCUCAUCCGACUUGAACCGGUUCAGUGAAGAAUUGGUUCGGUUCAACUCUGAUUCACU